GUCAAGUCAAGAUAGUGGAACGUAAACUCGAAGCCUUCUAGACUAGAUCUAGCAUCUCUAGCUAGACUCUAACUUGUAGUUUGUAGAUCUUGGAAUUGGAUCGAAAUUCACCUUCC
rnacentral:sRNA from 13 species